CAGUACCAAGCCACACAUCUUUGGAAACUGAACAUACUGUAUUUUAAUACAUGCUUCCAGAAAUUAUGUCACCUUGGCUAUGGAGAUUCAUUUUCACAAUUGAGACAUUGGACUUUAACUCAUGCCACAUACAUGAAAAUGAGGCUCCAUAGCCAAGGUGAUCGAAAUACAUUCCCGAAGAGUGUAUUUGACUUUUUUGUAAAAU